UACGGGGGGAGCAAGCGUUGUUCGGAUUUACUGGGCGUAAAGGGCGCGUAGGCGGCCAGCACAAGUCAGUUGUGAAAUCUCCGAGCUUAACUCGGAAAGGUCAACUGAUACUGUGCGGCUAGAGUGCAGAAGGGGCAACUGGAAUUCUCGGUGUAGCGGUGAAAUGCGUAGAUAUCAGGAAGAACACCCGUGGCGGAAGGCGGCUCUCUGGGACGGUACUGGACGCUGAGACGGCGAAAGCGUGGGAGCGAACAGG
rnacentral:rRNA from 1 species